AAGAAAAGAAAAAGAACUUAUGGAUUCAGAGUGUGGAAAGAGAGAGAGCCGAAUCUCUCAUCUAUCGAUUUCAACCGUGUUGAUGCCAGUAAUUUGAGGAAAGAAAGCUUGAUUUCCUAAACUCGUCUUUCUCAGAUUGGGCUCCCGACGGUGUCGAUCAUUCCGUUACCGACCAGCGAAGAGGUUAGGGUUUUCAACUAGCGACCAAAAAUUGAAGUUGAGGAGAGCCACCAUGGACGACGUCUCUGAGGAAGAAAAGAAGUAGCCUUUGUGGGUGUUGCUGUAUUUAUUGGCCUGAACUAGCUUUUGUUACAAGAAGGGAGAACCAACCCCUUCAUUAAGUGCCAGGAAUGGAGAAUAAGAGCAAUAAUAGCUAUAGCCUUAUACCAGGCACUUCUAAUCCUCUUUUAAUUAUCCAAAACCCAGCUCAACAGUUCCGCGCUAGACAUGAUCUUUUUCCUGACCAAAAACUUAUUUUAGAUAAUAUUUGGUUUUCUAGAAACAACCCCGAUAGAACCCUCGUUAGAAAUCUAAACACUUUAAGUGAAUAUUUCGUAUCAUCUAAUAAAGCAUAUCAGAAUUUACAACAAGAACAUGAGACGCUUAUAUCUCAUUAUAAAAAGUUAAAUUUAGCUUAUCAAAAGACGACAGCAAAUCUCAUAGAACUAACUAUUUCUGAGCAAUGGACUAAUGAAGAUGAAAAUCUUUAAAAAGUUCAAUUUCUGUUGGUACAAACCAAGUAUGCCAAGUUACUACACCUGUUUUCUCCCACCUACAGAGAAUCCUGAGACAACAAGUUGAGCUCUUUCCAGACAACAUCAAAGAACUUAUUCUUGAAGAAAUUAAAUCAGAUGGGCUCAAGGAAUGGGUUGAUAUCCAAAAUUACCUCAGAAACAACAGUCCACCCAAAGGCACCCGUUAUAACUAUACUUUCAUACGAUUAAUACAAACAAGCACUGACAUACCAAUAGCCAUUAUCUUGUUAAAUAUAUACCCUAUUUUCUUUAUUCCUUUUGAAGUACCCAGAAAAACCCUUUUCUCUAUCAAAUCAACCAUUUGUUACUUAAGCAAGUUAUUAGAAUUAGGAAUGAUCUAUAGUUUCAUCAUACCCAAGGAUACUCCCUUAGAAUAUCUAAAUUCUUUAUGUAAUUUUCCCAAUCGUUUAAACCAAGCCAUUGCGUUCGAACAAAAACUAACUCAAAAUUUUAUGCCAUAAAGUCCAAUUCUCCUUCAAAUCCAUAGUACUUCUCCAGAAUGGGUAAAGGAUGAAGCUAUAAUUUUGGGACAACAUCAAAUUUACAUUCAUUCUGAUCCAACUGAAGUCAAAAUUCUUACCCAACAUGUUGAUUUUGUAAAUAACUUUCGUAAUGAGAUAGAACUAGCUACCUUUAACCAUCUGGUGUACUAUAAAGCCUAUCGACAAAUUAACCCAAGCUAUAAUCCUGGUUUCAGACUCUAUGAUCAUAAUAUCAACAUGUAAAUUUUUGUUAAAGCAAGAAUUCCUCAUGUCAUUAAGUCUCCUCUAGAGAUUGAAAUAUCCCCAGAAGUUAAAUAAAUAAUAAAUGAAGAAAAGAUGUUAUUAGAACAGUUUAAUCUUGCUUAUAGAAAUGAAGAAAUCAGCUCACCAGACAGUAUUGAUGAAUACCUGGCCCGCAGGCAUGCCAGAGCAAGAAUUGACAAUCCAACAGAUAACACUACCGACAGAAAUUUGUCCAAUAUGCAAGAAUUUUAGUCAAAAAUAGAUCCUUAACAGUGUACAGUUAAAAGCAAAUCCACCGAAAGGAAAUUCUCAACAGCAAAAAUAGAUAUAAUUCUCCAGAAGAAGCCAUCAACAGUUCAGCAAUAAUUCAUGUCAUCUUAUCUCUAAAGCAUCUUGAAUCUCAACCAUCCAUGCAGCAUCUUCAAGCUCAACCACCGAUUCAUCCCCCUCUUCUGCUAUAAAAGGAGCCUCUCUGCUCAAGUAAAGAUCAUCGAGUUUUAGAACAAACAAGUCUCGAACCAUCAAACAUCCCAGCCUUCAGUUUCCAGUGUGUUUUCUUUUGUGACUUCCUUCAAUAUAUUUCCUUUGUAACAUAUAGUGUGAGAGUGUAUCCAUGUAUAAACAGUGUGUAUCUAUGUAUAUAUUUUCCAUGAAAUAAAUAAUCCAGUUUGCUCCUGUUCAACAAAUUUCUUUUCCUUAUUUAAUAUUUUCAGUACCUUCGGGCAAAAGACUUCUGUCGACAAAUAGAUCAAAUAUAUAGAUUUUAUUUAGCAAAACAGUGUAGAUCCUAGAAUUUUCUUGAAUCCAACCAGUACAAGGAGUCUUCGUUUUAAUUUAUCAAUUUCUUUUGUGAGUUGACUCGAACUGUUGGCUUGUUGACCCGUUCUUUGCCGGAGUUCAGGCGUUUCUACAGGGCGUUAUCAGAGCAUUAUCAGGGGCUGCUAGUCAACAAUGGUAUUUUUCAAGAGUUUCAAGCCCUAUACUAUCACCAUUUUGGCGCGAGAACAGAUUCUAAGAGGUCAUGCCACCAACACAGACAAUGUCGUCAACAGCCACGAAAUCAACUCGGAGAGCAACGAGAUAUGUAGACCUAGGGAAGCUUUACCAACAGCUUAGACAACAUUGUCAACACCCGUUGCCAGAGCGUCUUCAUCAGCCAUAGAUCAUCCAAUAGCCAUUGAUAGAGCGAGGCCAAACUCCGAGAGGUCAUGCGUCCAGCACAGAUAGUGUCAUCAGCAGCCAUGAAUCAAUCUAGAUAGCAACGACAGAUGCAGGUGGAGAGAGGUUUUACCACUAGUUUAGACAACGUUGUCAACACCCGCCGCCAGAACGUCUUCAUCAACCAUGGAUUAUCCAACAGCCAUUGAUGGAGCGAGACCAAACUCCGAGAGGUCAUGCGAUCAGCACAAAUAGUGUCGUCAGCAGUCAUGAAUCAAUCUAGAUAACAACAACAGAUGCAGAUGGAGAGAGGUUUUACCACUAGCUCAGACAACGUUGUCAACACCCACCGCCAGAACGUCUUUAUCAACCAUGGAUCAUCCAAUAACCAUUGAUAAAGCGAGACCAAACUCCGAGAGGUCAUGCGACCAGCACAGACAGUGUUGUCAGCAGCCAUGAAUCAAUCCCGAUAGCAACGACAAAUGUAGAUGGAAAGAGGUUUUACCAUUAGCUCAGACAAUGUUGUCAAUACCUGCCGCAAGAACGUCUUCAUCAGCCAUGGAUUAUCCAACAGCCAUUGAUGGAGCGAGACCAAACUUCGAGAGGUCAUACGACCAACACAGACAGUGUCGUCAGCAGCCAUAAAUCAAUCCAGAUAGCAACGACAGAUGUAGAUGCAGUCUAUUAGCCUUCAUUCGCCACAGAUCAGACAAAAACCAUUCAGAGAGUAAGAACAAACUCCAAGAGGUCAUACCACCAGUAUCUUUUGCCAUUAUCAGUUUGAUGAUGAUUUCAAGCCGAAGCUCCACCAAAAGAUUUGACUCAGUGUACAAGUUUACUCAUGCACCAGACAUCAGUAACAACUUCACAAGAAGUUACCGAGUUACGCAAGUGUGCUUGUGCAUAUCUGUCUCGAAGAUAGAGCUUUACCUAUUUUGAUUUGGGAAGCCUUAUGUAGUUCAAGCUUGAGUUUGACAUGGAUUGGCUUUUAAUUUGAAGAUAGUUUAGACUCAUAUCAAGGAGCAUAUUUAUCAUUCUCGUGUAUUUGAGUAAACUCUUACAAAUUUUCAUUUCGAUUAAUAAAAGCAUCAAGAGUUUUAUUUAUUC